rnacentral:rRNA from 1 species
AUGGCUCAGGAUGAACGCUAGCGACAGGCUUAACACAUGCAAGUCGAGGGCAGCAUAAAAGUAGCAAUACUUGGUGGCGACCGGCGCACGGGUGAGUAACGCGUAUGCAACCUACCUAUCAGAGGGGAAUAACCCGGCGAAAGUCGGACUAAUACCGCAUAAAACAGGGGCACCACAUGGUGAUAUUUGUUAAAGAAAUUCGCUGAUAGAUGGGCAUGCGUUCCAUUAGGUAGUUGGUGAGGUAACGGCUCACCAAGCCGACGAUGGAUAGGGAACUGAGAGGUUGGUCCCCCACACUGGUACUGAGACACGGACCAGACUCCUACGGGAGGCAGCAGUGAGGAAUAUUGGUCAAUGGGCGAGAGCCUGAACCAGCCAAGUCGCGUGAAGGAAGAAGGAUCUAUGGUUCGUAAACUUCUUUUGCAGGGGAAUAAAGUGCAGGACGUGUCCUGUUUUGUAUGUACCCUGAGAAUAAGGAUCGGCUAACUCCGUGCCAGCCGCCGC